rnacentral:lncRNA from 1 species
AUGGUCAUUCAACAUGUGGCUGCAAUGCAAUUAGAAGAUGCAAGCAAACCUGAUAAACAAGCAAACAGUGCUGAACAAGAGAAUUUGAACCUCAGAAUAAAAGAGCUGGAGAAAUCGGAGCAAGAACUGAAAGGUGUUUUAGAAGACUACAUGGAUUCAGAUUCCAUGCUAAGAAAUAGGAUGAAAGAGCUGGAGCUGUCACACAAAACCCUUCUUGUGAUGAUUGAUCAGCUAAAUGUGAAGGUGCACAAAGUUGAAAAUGCAAAUGUGCGUGUUAAAGAGAAACUGCGAGUCAUUUGGGAGGAGCUGAUGAACUUGGUUGAAAACCAAGAAAAGUCAGAGAAGAAGCAAAAGGAAAAAUUACAUUGGCUUCAGGAGCAGCUGAAGACAAAAGAAGAUGAAGUAAAAAGCCAGUCAGAAUAUUUUGAGCACUACAAGCAAAAGCAGAAGCGACAAACAACAGUGCAGAGAGAAAGGGAAUGUUACCUGCGGGGAGAGGUGUCCAGGCUGGAAAAGCAAGUGUUAGAUCUCAAUGCCCAUAUUGCUCGUUUGACAUCUGAGUUAGAAGAGGGGAUGGCACAGUGUCUCCAACAGAAGCUGGAAUCAGCAUCCACUGAUACUCAGGGCUAUAAACUUUCUGAAAUGGAAGUAACGGAAUUGAAAACUUGCAUUGAAAACAUGGAGCAUGACAUGAAAAGCCAUGUUGAGUCAUUUCAGCAAAAUCUGAGGUUCUUAAGGGAAAAAGGGGAGGACAACAGAAGAGAACAGGCAGACCUGCUGACUGAACUCCAGUGCUACCAGGACACUGAAGACUUUCUCAGGAGAAAAUUGGAAGAAUCUUGCAAUUAUGUUUAUAAUCUGAAAUUAUCUGAAAUCAAACUACGGAAACAAGUGGAAGACCUUUUGGAUGAAAACAGGGUUUUAAAAGAUCAAGGUAGAGUGAAGUUAAAAAAGAAGGAAGAAAAGGACUCACAAUUUACGAGAUUGGAAAAUGGAGACAGCAGUGCUGACCUGAAUGGAGAUCUAGUCCAGGAAGACGUUCAAAAUCUGAAAUGGGGAGCAGUCUCAGAUACACUCAGAAGCAGAGCUACACAAAGUCCAGUUGUACUGCUACAUGCCAAAGAGUAUGAAACACCAGGAUGUAGCUGUGAUGGGCUAAAGCAGACAGAGAAGCUACAGGAAGAAAUUCUACCAGUUUUGGAACAAAAUUCCGGACCCUUUACAAACAUUGCUGAAGAAGUUGGUUUAGCUGAGAUCAAAAUGGUCUCCCUUGGGACAAAAAAGCCAGGAGGUCUAGAAGAUAGUUUCACUUUGUUUAGAUGUAUCCCAAGCUAUCCUGCAGCAAGACGCCUUCCACCUUGCUCUGAGAGGUUAACUAAUGAUGAGACAUGUAAGGAAAACAAAGAUGAGGAAUGCUUUUCUCUUUUGAAGGAACAAGCUAUAAAUCUACCAGCAAAGAUGUUCCCUGUUUCUGUGGUUGAAGCUUUGAUGAGAAACAAGCCCCGCCUUACCUUGUUAAAACUUGGAAGCUACCACAUAGCAGCUGUCACAACGGUGAAGGAAGUGGGGAGUUUGGAUUUCAGUGAGGCAAAUACCACUCUUUGCUCUGAUGGCCUCUGUGUUGUUGCAGAACAAGGUUUUUCUGAAAAAGCUUCUGUAGUUCUUCAUGGAAACAUGCCUUGCUUUGUGAAUGACAAUUUCACAUCCUCUCUAGAAAAAUACUGUUUGGAAAAACAUCAGCAAAACAAACAAAUUCUACCAAAAAGUAAACAUAAAAAUAAAAGUCUGGAUAAAGGUGUUAAUGAUAUAAAGUAUCACAAAAAAAUCUUUAGAAGGAGAGUUAAAGGAGAAGAAAUACAGACUGAGAAAGCCCAAGCACAACAGGUUACCUGUGAUUUUGAGGAAAAUUCUGAAAUUUUAAAUAAAACAGAGUUGAUUAGGCUGGGGAAGCAAGGAAUGGACACCAAAGACAAACCAGGUAGCCCAGAAGUUUUUCACAAUAUAUCUGUUGAUUUUAAGGACUUACAGAAUCAUUUCAAUAGUCUUGAACUAAAGAAGAAACAAGAAACCCUCUCAGAAACGUGCAUCUCUGAUGUGACCAGGGCAUGCACUGGAGUAGAUAUAAUGAAAAUGGAGGAGAAAGGGGAGCAACCUCAGAAACCAACUCACCAAAUAAACUCUUCCGGGAAUAUUGGACUGAAAGAAAAUAAAGACCAGGCCUUGAAAUUACAUAAAUCAAAAGAGAAGAAUUUCUCGUGUCAAAAGGUGGCUGCUGAAAACACGCAAUAUGCAUAUCCUCAGAAAAGUUUUUGGUCAGAGGAAGAGAGUUAUCCACUAAAAAUACUGUCUCCUAUGCAAAAGAGGGCUGUGUGCUUAAGCAAACAACUCCUACCAAAAAGCAAUUUUUAUGCGUAUUUCUGUCAUCUGUCACCACUGGCAGCAGUUAAUGAGCAUAACGUGAAAAUUUAUACAUUGAAAAAAGCAGUGGCUAUGUGUUCUCAGAAUAUAUUUGUACUGAUGCAAGAGAAUGAAUAUUACUCAAAAAAGGUCUGUUUAUUACAAGAGGAGAAUGAGAGAUAUGUUCAGAAGGUUUGUGCACUGGAAGAGGAGAUGAAUGUAUAUUUUCAAUACGCUUUAGAAGAAGUUAGCAUUGCUUCUUUUCAAAAUUUACCUAAUGAGAAUGAAGUUGCUGGUGAAUGUUAUAUCAACAUGUCAGAAGAAAAUAGAAUGAGCCCAGGAGCAAUUUUUGCUGAAACCUUCUCUAAGAAUCUCUCAUAUGUUAAAGAUAAAAAUAGGAAUUCUGAAAAAGAUUCAUUGACAAUUGAAUCAAAUCAACUUCCCAAGAGUGUUUUAUCCCUUGAUGGAAGGAAAAUGAGGUAUUUACAGCUGCUUUCUAACCUGAAAGAAGAAAGAAGUAGAUGCUUCAGAGAAAUAGCUAAAUUAUUACAUGACAAGGAGAACUAUGUAGCAAAAUACAAUGAAUUAAUUAAAGAGAGAGAGAGAAACUUGCAAAGAACAUCUCUUUUAAAAGAUGAAAAAGAAAUUUUAUUGAGAAGUUUGGCAGAAGUAAAAUGUGAACAAGACAAGUACCAAGCCUUGGUUUCAGAACUUCAAGAGUGCAAAGCCAGUUGUUAUCAAACUAUUUCUGAUUUACGGGAGGAAAAAUGUGCACUAAAAAGAGCUAUAGACAGGAUCAAGGAAGAAACUGCGGAACAACUUCAUGAAUUUCAAACAGCAAAUGCAAACUUUAUUUUAGAAAACAACAAAUUAAAAGAAUUAAUAUCUUCUUUGGGUUUCACCUAUGAAGAUGUGAUAAAAGAAAAAUGCUUGGGAACAAAGGAAAAGGUAGUAAACCUAAAAGAAGAAAAUAGAAGUCAACAACGUGAUCUUAAUCCAAAGAAAGUUGAAACAUCAUGCAGUGUAACUCAGACUGAAGAAGGAGGAGUAGACCCCUCCAGCUAUUUCGCCAACAAAGAGGGCAGCACAUUUGAAAGCUACAGUGCGAUGAAAGAGCAAGUGGAAAAGGCAAAAGAGGAACUAAAAAUACAGCAAAAGGAAUUGGAAAAAUCAAAAAAAGAGGUAAGCUCCCACUCUGAUGUAAUUCUGAGGAACAAAUUUGUUUUAUAUUUUGUUUUCUU